UCCUCGGUAGCUCAGUCGGUAGAGCACGCGGCUGUUAACCGCGCUGUCGUAGGUUCAAGUCCUAUCCGAGGAGCCA
rnacentral:tRNA from 4 species